rnacentral:lncRNA from 1 species
ACAAAACAAGGGGACCCCCAACGCCGGACGCCGCAGCACCAGGCUGUAUUUCCCCACGGCCCACACAGCCCUUCAUCUCCAGCUGCCCCGUUCUCACAGCAGUGGGGCUGGGGGCAGCCCUGGAGGAUGGGCACCUCAGGUGGGCAGCAGCGGAGGGGGCUCAUCCUCAUCAGAGUCAAACUCGGCGUUCUCAUCCUUCAGCCACUUCCCAGAGGGGUCCUGGAUCCACCCGGCGCUCCGCAGCUGUAGGUAUCGCUGCAGCGCCUGGCGCCGUGUGGGGCUGACGGCUGUGGGCCGGGUGGGGGGCGGCGAUGGCGGAGCCCCCCUCGGGACGCCCUCCUGGGCGUGGGUGGAACCCGGUGCUGCCUCUCCUCCCGCACCGCACUGCCCGGGCAGCACAACUGCAGCAGCGGCCUCCACUGCAUCCCUGCGCUCCUUCAUGGCUGUGGGGGCGGCGCUCGGCCCCAUUCGGGCCCUUCCCGCUCUCGCCCCGCUUCCAUCCGCCCCCGUCCUCCGGCAGCAGCUGCUGUACGGAGCGGCCUUCAGCAGCGCGCUCUGCGCGAUCCGCCUCGUCCUGAGCAGCAGAGGGGCCGCGGAGCCCUCAGUGCUC